rnacentral:lncRNA from 1 species
GAAACCACAAACUCCAAAUCAACCCAUACAUAUCUCAGUACAUGCGCCAAGUAAUAUUAUUCUUCAACCCCUGGCGACUCCUCUUCAUACCAUCUAUCCAUCUAUCUACAUAUGUUUGUUGUUGGUCCAUAGCGGCCAGCUCCUUGAUACUAAGCAUUAUCUUCUCAUUUUCAAGGGCCUGGUGGCGCACAUCUUUUAUAUUUCCCAGAACACUUCUUUGGCUUGGAUUUGCAAUUUCGACGAUAAAUUCCACAGCUCUCGCGGGCUGUAAUGCCCACCUUAUGAUCAGUACUCAUUAUUUCUGCAAGACCCAUGUAAGAUAUCAUCAACACAAACAAGACCGAGACAACAUUUAUACUAACAGCAAAAAAAAAAAGACAAAAAACUUCCUUUAUAUUAGAAAAGAUGGAAGUGAAAGGAUUUUUCUUAUCCAAUUUUUAUUUCCCUAUAUAACUUAUAUAUGACAAAGAGGAAAAACAGCAGCUCAUGCAUUUGAAGUUUUUACAUGCAACGUACCCUAUAUACAUACAUACUAAUAUUUUCCAAAACAAAGAAAAACACUUCCAAUUUUUAUCUCUCUCUCGUUUUCAAACUAUGAAAAACCUUAAUUAUGUUAGCAGGACAUUUUAUUCAAGGCAGUGUAAGUAACGAUCAUAUGUACAGCUAACUAGUUACAUGAAUAUAAAAUGGAUGUAGAAAAAGAAAUUACCAUUUUGAACCAACUCUCGAGCACUAACGCAAGAGGCAAAGAGAAGGACUGAAAUGAAGAGAAAGCAUACAAGGAAAGCCUUCAUGGUGAUGGGAGAUUGGAGUAGGGUCUGAUAAACUUUCUCCCCCACUACCCUUAUUUAUAAUGGCAUUCAUAUGUGUGGAUCGGGAAAAAGAGAUGGUCCCUUCAAUUAAUGGGAAAGUGUGAAGGGUAAAGUGUCCCGCAAAAAAGGGGAAGCAAGGAUGAGUCCCCACUACCUCAAUUAUCACAAAACAUAUGGUACCUCUCAUCCACAUCUUUUGAUCCGAAACCAACUUUUCUCAUGCACAUGGGUUCACUGCUAUCACAUGUACCCAACUUUCUCACUCCACUCAAUUAUUGUACUCCACGAUAGAAUUUUCUCUCAUUAUCAUGGUAAUAUUCAUGAAUAAUUGACACUGGCUGCUGCCAGAAUUCUCUGGAGGAAAAGAAUACAAGUAAUUUUUCAAUUUUUUUUUUAAAACUUUUUGAUUUUCAUUUUCAAAAAUGGUUUUUAUAUUAAAAAUAUUGGUGAAAUGAAAGUGCGUUUAAUCAAUUUUUUUUUAAAGUAUUUUUAAUUUAAAUGUUAAAGAGCCACUAGUGAUUUUAUAAAGCGUUUUUAGUCUUUUUAAUAUUUGAAAGAUAAAAUUUUUUUAAAUGUUAGAAAGACUAAAAACAUUUUCUAUAAUCCCUACCAAAUGAACUCUUAAAUGUUUUUGAAAAAAUCAUUUAUCAAAUGUUGCUAUAAAAAACACUAUUAAUAAUUUUUCAACUAUUUAAAAGUAUUUUCUAAAUUUAAAAUACCUAAUUUUUCUUCAAAAAUACUUUUUGAUACAGAAUUUUUUUUCAAAACACUAUUAAAUAUGAUUUUUCAAUUAUUUAAAAAUGUUUUCUAAAUUUUAAAUACCUAAAUUUUCUUCAAAAAUACUUUUUGAUCUAGAACUAUUUUUAAAAUUAAAACGAUCUAGUUAAAAUAUUAGAACUGCCAUAAGGCUAAUUAUUGGAGCGGCAGAUAAACACAUUACUUUUGCGGAUCAAAAGGAGCUGGAUGGCAUGAAGUUUUGUUGUUGGAUUAAUAUUAGAACUGCCUCCAAUUCUAAUGUGUUUCUAUUAUAUAUAUGGUCAUGAAAAUAUAUGAAAAGGCAUAACAUAUUAUUUGAUUAAAAUAUAUGAAAUAAUCUAAAUUUGUAAAUCUCACUCUCCUUUGUUUAAACUUGAAAAGUAAUUUGUUUUUGUUAUAAAUGUCCUUCAAUGUUUUGAUUAUUUAUUUGUAAUUUUUAAAAAAGAAGGUUAUUUUUUUGUGGUUUAACUUAGGUGUCAACCCAAUGUUUGAAUGGAGUUGAACAAUUAUUUAAAAUACUCAGAUUGGGUUUGAAUUAGGUUUUUUCCAACUCAAGUUCUAUUUAUGGGUUGGACUCAUAUUAAUGUUCUAACAAUCCAAACCUAAUUCAAAUAUAUGUUUUUAUAAUAUUUAUUAUGUAUAUUAACCUAUAUAAUAAUAUUCAUUUUUUUUUAAUUUUGAAGAAAAAUAUCAAAUUAUUUUAUAUUGUAUACUUUUUUUUAGAAAGAUAUAUAAAUUUAUUUUUACCUUUUUUUUUGUUAUUAUCUUGAAAAUUUGUUCUAUUUAUUUUAAAAAAAAUUAAUAUAAAUAUAUUUAAGAAACAUUAUAGAUAGAUUUUAAAUUAUGCAACUCAGUCAACCAACCAACCCAAACUUGGAGAAAUGAUAUUAGGUAAAGUUUAGGUUGAGUAUUUCAUGUUAGAGGUUAAAUUGAACUUCGAUUUACCGUUUCUUAAUUUAAGUUGCGAUUGGAUUAGUCAUCAAUUCAUCCAAGUUGCAACAUCAUUGUUUUUAAAAGAAAAAUAUUACGAUGUUUUUUUUAAUUAAAAAUUUGUAUUUUUUAGGCUAAAAGAAUAUGAAAGGUUAGAUUUACAAAUUGAGGAUUAUUUCAAAGUCAAAUAACCCUAUAUAUAUAUUAAAAAUAACAUUGUAUAUUAAUUAAUAAGAGAUUAUGGUAAUAAUAUUUGUUUUCAUUAUUUAUCUUUUUAACUUGGAAUAGAAUAGUGAUGAUAAAUCAUCUUCGAACUUUUUCCCAUUACUCAUCUCUACUAAUUGAAUAGAUAAUUUUUUUUUAAAAAAUAAAAUAAAAUUGAAUCUAUAUAAGUUAUAUAACUUCCUUUAUAUUAGAUAAGAUAGAAAUGAAAGGAAUUUUCUUUUACAAUUUUUAUUCCCCUAUAUAACUUACAUAUAUGACAAAGGGGAAAAACAACAGCUCAUGCAUGAUUGUGUAUUUGAAGUUUUUACAUGUAACGUACCCUAUAUACAUACAUACUAAUAUUUUUUCAAAAACAAGAAAAACACUUCCAAUUUUUAUCUUUCUGUCCUUUUCAAACUAGGAAAAACCUUGAUUAUGUUAGCAGGACAUUCUAUUCAAGGCAAUGUAAGUAACGAUCAUAUGUACAGCUAACGAGUUACAUGAAUAUAAAAUGGAUGUAGAAAAAGAAAUUACCAUUUUGAACCAACUCUCGAGCACUAACGCAAGAGGCAAAGAGAAGGACUGAAAUGAAGAGAAAGCAUACAAGGAAAGCCCUCAUGGUGAUGGGAGAUUGGAGUAGGGUGUGAUAAGCUUUCUCCCCCGCUACCCUUAUUUAUAAGGGAGAAUUACCCUUAAGGGUAGGGUAAAAUUAUGAUAAUUCCUCCAAAUGCCUUAUUUUGUUUAAAUGUCAAUACUACCCUUAAUAAGUGAAAAGCAACAGCAAAGUGAAAAGCAACAGAAAAUAAAAAAGAGUCUUCUUUAACCUACCUGGAACUUGUCGGUGUUGUAGAAGAAAAAAGGGAAAGGAAAAAGGUUCAGCACUUCAGGUCAUUAUCUGCAACCGUUUACACAAAACUUGUUUUUUUUUUUUUGUGAAACUAGUAAGAAAUCCAUUAAAGGUCAGUUUUUUUUUUAAAUACAAAAAAAAAAAGUCAGUUUAUGGAAAAAUAAAUAAAUAAUUUUAAAAUCAGAUUGAAUGAAGGAAAAGUUAAUAAUUUUAACAAUGUAGAUGUAAGAUAUUAGAUCUGAAAUAUUGAAGGAGGUUUUGAGAAAGAAAUUACAUUUUUUGUAUAAAAUGUUAUUUAAAUUUAUUAUUUUGAAUUUUUUUUAUAUUAUUUUGGUCAUAGAAGAUGUGUUUUUAUUUUUAAUUUAUUUUCCUAGUUGUUUGAUAUGAUUAUUAUUGAUUUCCAUUGAAAAUGUUUGCACUUUAAUUUUGUUGUUGAGACUUGUUUGACAUGGCAGAAGAAAAAAUUUUCUCAGUUGUUUCUUGGUUGUUUGGAACCACUUUAUUUGGGUAUUUAUGAACAUGUUUGAAUUUUUGUUGAAAACUCAAAAUAGUAAUCAAUUGAGACAUAUUUUGUAUAAUAAAGAACAAUAUUUGUUAUAUAUUAGACAUAUAUAUGCCAAAAAAACCCACAACUGCCCAGUUUCAUAAGAAAUUUGAAAUUUUAAAAAUUUUAUCUUAUCGUAAUGUAUCGUAAUGUUACUGUAUUUAUAUUGUAAUUGUAGUGUAUUUUUAUUGUACAUUUAUAUUUUUAUAUAAAAAAACCCACGAUUGCCCAGUUUCAUACAAAAUUUGAAAUUUUGAAAAUUUUACGUUAUCAUAAUGUAUUGUAAUGUUAUUGUAUUUAUAUUGUAAUUGUAGUGUAUUUUUAUUGUACAUUUAUAUUUUUAUAUAAAAAAUUAAUUUUAUAGAUUUUUUUAUACAUUUGGAUUACCAUCAACAACUUUAUGUAUUGAAAUUACAAUAAUAUAUUUUUGUUGUCUUUUUAUAAUUUUGGCUUGUAAUGAUGCUUUAUGAUAGGAAUACAAAAUGAUAACCUAGAAACGUUAAUUCAGUAAAAAGCAAAUUCCAUAUUUUGUCAUUUUGGCAUAUUAUAAUAUAUCGUAAUAUUAAUAUAUUUUUAUUAUAACUAUAUUGCAUUUGUAUUGUACUUAUAUUUUAUAAUUGUCAGGAAAGAUGUACUUUUCAAUUGGUAAAUGAAUUUGAGAAAUUCAAGGUAAAUUGGUUUAAUAAAAAUAUGAGGUCUUCAUAAGAAUUAUCAAAUCUAUCCAUCCUUUUUAGUAAUUUUUUUUCCCAACUUACCCUUAAGGGUAUAAUGGCAUUCAUAUGUGUGAAGGGCAAAGUGUCCCACAAAAAAGGGGAAGCAAGGAUGAGUCCCCGCUACCCCACUAUCUCAAUUAUCACAAAACAUAUGGUACCGGCCUCUCCUGCAUAUCUUCUGAUCCGGAACCAACUUUUCUCAUUCACAUGGGUUCACCGCCCAACUUUCUCACUCCACUCAAUUAUUGCACUCCACGAUAGAAUUUUCUCUCAUUAUCAUGAUAAUAUUCAUGGAUUGCGACUGGCUGCUGCCAGAAUUCUAUGGAGGAAAAGAAUACAAGUAAUUUCUUAAUUUUUUUAAAGUUUCUGAUUUCCAUUUUCAGAAAUGGUUUUUAUAUUAAAAAUAUUGGUGAAUUGAAAUUACGUAUAUCAAUUUUUCUUUUUAAAGUGUUUAAAAGUUUAUUUUACAAUGAUUUUAAGAAACGUUUUUAUCUCUUUUAACACUUAAAAGAUAAUUUCGUUUUAAGUGUUAGAAAUACUAAAAACGUUUUCUAUCAUUACUAUCAAAUGUACUCUUUGUUUUUAAAAAAAUUAUUUAUCAACUAUUGCUAUAAAAAACACUAUUAAUGAUUUUUUUAAUUAUUUAAAAGUGUUUUUUAAAUUUCAAAUACCUAAUUUUUCUUCAAAAAUAUUUUUUGAUAUAGAACUAUUUUUCAAGACACUACUAAUGAUUUUUUAAUUAUCUAAAAGUGUUUUCUAAAUUUUAAAUACCUAUUUUUUUGAAAAAAAUAAAAUAAUUUUUGAUGUAGAACUGUUUUUAAAAAACCAUCUAGUUAAAAGCAUAAAUAGGACACUGCCAUACUGCUAAUUAUUAGAGCGGCAGAUAAACACAUUACUUUUGCGGACCAAAAGGAGCUGGAUGACAUCUAUAAAGUUUUGUUGUUGGAUUAAUAUUAGAACGGCCUCCAAUUCUAAUGUGUUCAUAUCUAUAUAUUGUUAUUCUUGAAUUAUCACAAAUGUAUGGUCAAAUAAUUAUGUAUAAUAAAUAAACGAAAAAGUAAGUAAAUAUUGAAUCUUACAAACGGUUGAUCGAGGCUAGAGUUUGACUCUAUGUCCUUAAGACGAAUUUGCCCUGUACUGGUGCUUAUGAUUUGUUGACAAUCAUUUCCGAGGAUACAAUGAUCACUUUCUUGUGAUACUAGCACUUCAAAUCACAAGAAACAACGAAUUACUUGAUGACUUGAAUUCUCUUGAAUACCAAGCACUUGGAAGAAAGGAGAAGAAGUGGAGAGAAUUGAUGAUGGAAUGAAUGAAAAAUGCCAUGGGGGGCCUAUUUAUAGGUUUUCUGGUGACUCUUAAAAGAGAUGUGUCUUAAAUACUUGAUAUAUCCUUUGACACAAGUUGUGUCUAUUAGGAAGAGUUGAGUCUAAUUGAAAUGGUAUGUCUUAAUUUUCAUUCACCUAUAAAUAUCCCAACAUAUAUUAUGGUCAUCGUCAUGUAUCUGCAUUUUCGUAAAUAAAUAAAUGAAAAGGUUUAACAUAUUAUUUUAUUAAAAUACAUAAAAUAAUCUAAAUGUGUAAAUUUCACUCUCCUCGUGUUUAAACUUGAAAGUAAUCUGUUUUGUUAUAAAUGUCCUUUAAUAUUUUGAUUAUUUAUUUGUAAGUUUUAAAAAAGAAGAUUAUUUUUUAGUGGUCUAACUUAGGUGCUAACUCGAUGUUUGAAUGGUCUUGAACAAUCAUUUGCAAUACUUGGAUUGAGUUUGGAUUAGGUUUUUUCCAAACCAAGUUCAAUUUAUGAGCUGACUCGGAUUGAGGUUCAAACAAUCCAAGCCUAAUUCAAAUCUAUGUUUUUAUAAUAUUUAUUAUGUAUACUAUCCUAUAUAAUAAUAUUUAUUUUCUUUUUAAAUUUUUAAGAAAAAAAAAAAUCAAAUUAUGUUAUAUUGUAUAUAUUUUUUAUUAUUUUUUAGAAAGAUAUAUAAACUUAUUUUUACUUUUUUUUUUUGUUAUUAUCUUGCAAUUUUGUUCUAUUUAUUAUUUAAAUUUUAAUAUAAAUAUAAUUUUUUUUUAAAGAAAUAUUAUAGAUAUAUUUUAAAUUAUAUAACUUAGUCAACCCAACCAACCUGAACUUGGAGAAAUGAUAUUAGGUUAAGUUUGGGUUGAGUAUUCAUGUCAUAGGUUAAGUUGAACUUGGAUUUGUUAUUUCUUAAUUUGAGUUGGGAUUGGAUUAGUCAUCAACUCACUCAAGUUGCAACCUUAUUGUUCUUAAAAGAAAAAAGCAAAGAUAGUUUUUUUUUAAUAAAAAAUUUGUAUUUUUUUAAGCUAAAAGAAUGUGGAAGGUUAGAUUUACAAAUUGAGG